rnacentral:misc_RNA from 1 species
GAUGAAGAACGAAGCAAAAUGCGAUAAGUAAUGUGAAUUGCAGAAUUCAGUGAAUCAUCGAAUCUUUGAACGCACAUUGCGCCCGCUGGUAUUCCGGCGGGCAUGCCUGUUCGAGCGUCAUUUCAACCCUCAAGCCCCCGGGUUUGGUGUUGGGGAUCGGCUCUGCCCUUCUGGGCGGUGCCGCCCCCGAAAUACAUUGGCGGUCUCGCUGCAGCCUCCAUUGCGUAGUAGCUAACACCUCGCAACUGGAACGCGGCGCGGCCAUGCCGUAAAACCCCAACUUCUGAAUGUUGACCUCGGAUCAGGUAGGAAUACCCGCUGAACUUAAGCAUAUCAAUAAGCGGAGGA